rnacentral:rRNA from 1 species
AACGAACGCUGGCGGCAUGCCUAACACAUGCAAGUCGAACGAGACCUUCGGGUCUAGUGGCGCACGGGUGCGUAACGUGUGGGAACCUGCCUUUAGGUUCGGAAUAACUCAGAGAAAUUUGAGCUAAUACCGGAUGAUGUCUUCGGACCAAAGAUUUAUCGCCUUUAGAUGGGCCCGCGUUGGAUUAGCUAGUUGGUGGGGUAAAGGCCUACCAAGGCGACGAUCCAUAGCUGGUCUGAGAGGAUGAUCAGCCACACUGGGACUGAGACACGGCCCAGACUCCUACGGGAAGCAGCAGUGGGGAAUAUUGGACAAUGGGCGAAAGCCUGAUCCAGCAAUGCCGCGUGAGUGAUGAAGGCCUUAGGGUUGUAAAGCUCUUUUACCCGAGAUGAUAAUGACAGUAUCGGGAGAAUAAGCUCCGGCUAACUCCGUG